GCGGAAGUGGCGGAAUAGGCAGACGCGCUGGAUUUAGGUUCCAGUAGGGUAACCUGUGGGGGUUCGACUCCCCCCUUUCGCA
rnacentral:tRNA from 1 species